GUUUGCUUGUAUGUGGGAGUGAUACAUCCGUGUACUGGGGAUACAUUCUUGUUUUUUAUGUUGCAUCUGUUUACUUGCGAAGUGAUAUUAAUCUCAAGUAGAUUCUAAAAAGUCAAAGAAGUUCUGGAUAAUUCAUUAUCCGAUUUUUCUCUGAAAUUCAUUUUAUCAAAACCUUUUUAAUCUGUCAACACUGUAAACCAC
rnacentral:lncRNA from 1 species